rnacentral:rRNA from 1 species
CCUACGGGAGGCAGCAGUGAGGAAUAUUGGUCAAUGGGCGCUAGCCUGAACCAGCCAAGUAGCGUGAAGGAUGACUGCCCUAUGGGUUGUAAACUUCUUUUAUCUGGGAAUAAAGUGCAGUAUGUAUACUGCUUUGCAUGUACCUUAUGAAUAAGGAUCGGCUAACUCCGUGCCAGCCGCCGGGGUAAUACGGAGGAUCCGAGCGUUAUCCGGAUUUAUUGGGUUUAAAGGGGGCGUAGGCGGGUUGUUAAGUCAGUUGUGAAAGUUUGCGGAUCAACCGUAAACUUGCCGUUGAUACUGGCAUUCUUGAGUACAGUAGAGGUAGGCGGAAUGCGUGGUGUAGCGGUGAAAUGCUUAGAUAUCACGAAGAACUCCGAUUGCGAAGGCAGCCUGCUGGACUGUAACUGACGCUGAUGCUCGAAAGUGUGGGUAUCAAACAGGAUUAGAUACCCUUGUAGUC